rnacentral:rRNA from 1 species
GUAGGUGGCAAGCGUUGUCCGGAAUUAUUGGGCGUAAAGCGCGCGCAGGCGGUUCUUUAAGUCUGAUGUGAAAGCCCACGGGCUCAACCGUGGAGGGUCAUUGGAAACUGGAGAACUUGAGUACAGAAGAGGAAAGCGGAAUUCCACGUGUAGCGGUGAAAUGCGUAGAGAUGUGGAGGAACACCAGUGGCGAAGGCGGCUUUCUGGUCUGUAACUGACGCUGAGGCGCGAAGGCGUGGGGAGCAAACAGGAUUAGAUACCCUGGUAGUCCACGCCGUAAACGAUGAGUGCUAAGUGUUAGGGGGUUUCCGCCCCUUAGUGCUGCAGCUAACGCAUUAAGCACUCCGCCUGGGGAGUACGGCCGCAAAGGCUG